GGGGGCUCCGGGUGGACACUUCAAACUCUUGCGUAACUUUGCAGUCUGAGUAAACUUAAUUAAUAAAUUAAAACUUUUAACAACGGAUCUCUUGGUUCUGGCAUCGAUGAAGAACGCAGCGAAAUGCGAUAAGUAAUGUGAAUUGCAGAAUUCAGUGAAUCAUCGAAUCUUUGAACGCACAUUGCGCCCCCUGGUAUUCCGGGGGGCAUGCCUGUUCGAGCGUCAUUUCACCACUCAAGCCUCGCUUGGUAUUGGGCAACGCGGUCCGCCGCGUGCCUCAAAUCGACCGGCUGGGUCUUCUGUCCCCUAAGCGUUGUGGAAACUAUUCGCUAAAGGGUGCUCGGGAGGCUACGCCGUAAAACAACCCCAUUUCUAAGGUUGACCUCGGAUCAGGUAGGGAUACCCGCUGAACUUAAGCAUA
rnacentral:rRNA from 1 species